rnacentral:tRNA from 1 species
GGGGAUGUAGCUCAGUUGGCAGAGUGCUUGCCUCACAUGCAAAAGUCCCAGGGUUCAAUCCCUAGCACCCCCA